UGGGGAAUAUUGCACAAUGGGCGAAAGCCUGAUGCAGCAACGCCGCGUGCGGGAUGACGGCCUUCGGGUGUUAAACCGCUUUCAGCAGGGACGAAGGUUUUCUGACGGUACCUGCAGAAGAAGCACCGGCUAACUACGUGCCAGCAGCCGCGGUGAUACGUAGGGUGCGAGCGUUGUCCGGAAUUAUUGGGCGUAAAGAGCUUGUAGGCGGUCCGUUGCGUCGGAAGUGAAAACUCAGGGCUUAACCCUGAGCCUGCUUUCGAUACGGGCGGACUUGAGGGAUGUAGGGGAGAACGGAAUUCCUGGUGGAGCGGUGGAAUGCGCAGAUAUCAGGAGGAACACCAGUGGCGAAGGCGGUUCUCUGGACAUUUCCUGACGCUGAGAAGCGAAAGC
rnacentral:rRNA from 1 species